rnacentral:rRNA from 1 species
UGAGGAAUAUUGGGCAAUGCCCGCAAGGGUGACCCAGCAACGCCGCGUGGAGGAUGAAUGUCGUAAGAUUGUAAACUCCUGUUAGAGGGGAAGAAUAGUACCGGUUGGACCGGUAUAUGACUGUACCCUCAGAGAAAGCCCCGGCUAACUACGUGCCAGCAGCCGCGGUAAUACGUAGGGGGCAAGCGUUGUCCGGAUUUACUGGGUGUAAAGGGCGCGCAGGCGGGAUAAAAAGUCAGUGGUGAAAUCCUACAGCUUAACUGUAGAACUGCCUUUGAUACUAUUUGUCGUGAAUAUUGCGGAGGUAAGCGGAAUAUGUCAUGUAGCGGUGAAAUGCUUAGAUAUGACAUAGAACACCAAUUGCGAAGGCAGCUUACUACACAAUCAUUGACACUGAGGCACGAAAGCGUGGGUAGCGAACA